AGAGCUAAUACAUGCAAACAGAGUCCCGACCGUAAAUGGAAGGGACGCUUUUAUUAGAUCAAAACCAAUCGACGUCCGUCUGCUUUCGGGUCGACGGCGCCGUACUCCUUGGUGACUCUGAAUAACUUUUGGCAGAUCGCACGGUCCCCGAACCGGCGACGCAUCCUUCAAAUGUCUGCCUUAUCAACUGUCGAUGGUAGGUUCUGCGCCUACCAUGGUUGUAACGGGUAACGGGGAAUCAGGGUUCGAUUCCGGAGAGGGAGCCUGAGAAACGGCUACCACAUCCAAGGAAGGCAGCAGGCGCGCAAAUUACCCACUCCCGG
rnacentral:rRNA from 1 species